rnacentral:rRNA from 1 species
GAUGAACGCUGGCGGCGUGCCUAAUACAUGCAAGUCGAGCGAACGGACGAGAAGCUUGCUUCUCUGAUGUUAGCGGCGGACGGGUGAGUAACACGUGGAUAACCUACCUAUAAGACUGGGAUAACUUCGGGAAACCGGAGCUAAUACCGGAUAAUAUUUUGAACCGCAUGGUUCAAAAGUGAAAGACGGUCUUGCUGUCACUUAUAGAUGGAUCCGCGCUGCAUUAGCUAGUUGGUAAGGUAACGGCUUACCAAGGCAACGAUGCAUAGCCGACCUGAGAGGGUGAUCGGCCACACUGGAACUGAGACACGGUCCAGACUCCUACGGGAGGCAGCAGUAGGGAAUCUUCCGCAAUGGGCGAAAGCCUGACGGAGCAACGCCGCGUGAGUGAUGAAGGUCUUCGGAUCGUAAAGCUCUGUUAUUAGGGAAGAACGUAUGUGUAAGUAACUGUGCACAUCUUGACGGUACCUAAUCAGAAAGCCACGGCUAACUACGUG